GGCAGCUGUGGCCAGUGCAUACUGCCAUGCCUGUAAAGUGCCUACUGCACAGCCCAGGACAUAGAAAGAUGGUAACUGAGGUUUUGUUGUGGUUGUUCACUAGCAUUGCAUAGGACCCAGGUCUGAUCCCUUCAUUCAGCUGGUGUGAUUGUGAGUCAAGGAUCUGAUAUCCCCAAAGAAAGGACUGCAAGUAUUUGCCAGUCAGACUUUAUUUGUUACAAGAUACGAUAUUGCACAUGUAUUCCUGUGUUCUUCAUCAGAAGACCUGAAUUCAAAUCUCCAGUUCAUUACCUAUUAGGACUUGCUCACUCCCUCUUUCUCUCCCAGCCUCAGUGUCCUCGUAGGGGAAAUGGGAAUGCUAAUAAUGGCCUACUUCACAGAACUGUGGUGAAGACAAAGCCAAUCAAGCAUGUGGAUCAGUGAGUAUGCGCAGGGCUGCAAGGGCCAGAAAUCCCAGGAUCUUACUGCUGGGGUUAGAUACUGAUCUAAGGAGCUUAAGUAGUAAGAACUGUGGAUGUGGGGCAGCCUGCAGAGCUGGUUGAUUUAGGGCUCGGUGACAUCAUCAAGGCUGGGCUUGGGACUGCCUGGGUUCCCUGAGAGGCGUGGAACCAUGGUGGGAAGAUGUAGGAAAGAUGAGGAUGAUGAUUGACAGAUCAGUCUGGAAUUGUUGCCUGCUAAAGUUCAUUCAUCCAUUCUUUCGAUAGCUACGAACUGAGCACCCACCAGGUGCCAGUCACGGGACUGGGCCUUGGAGAACAGACGUGACCCACCUGCAUUGUGAUCCACUGCUGUGUAACAAAUCACCACAAAACAUAGGGGCUGACGGCAAUAGCUCUCAGUUGCUACACCUCACAGCCUCUGAGCAUAAGAACUGGGGACCAGGCGUGGCUGGGAUAGCUGUCUCUGCUCAGCGAUGUCUGGGGCCUCAGAUGGAAGAUUUGAAGGCUGGGAGGAGAAUCAUCUGAAGGUUCACUGAUGUGGCUGGCACACAGUGUCGCUGGGCACACAAUGUCGCUGAGCCCUGGACUGGGGCUAUCCUCUGGAACACCUGCACACGGCUUCUCCAUGGGACCAGGGCUUCCUCAGGGCAUGAUGACUGAGUUCCAAGAAAAAUUCUUAUAGUGGGUGGAUGUCAUUUAUCUACCCAGCAUCUCGUCUUUGGACUACAAAUCCUUAUCCCCUUCUGCUGGUGCCAUUGUCUCUCCUUCCUGUGGAAAACCUGUGCCACGGGACUCAGCGAGGGCUGCCUCCUCCAGCAGGGUCAGCGCCUGAAGCAGGCCUGGUCCAUGCAGGACUGGGUCAGCAGCCCAAAGCAGUCGGUUUGGGGUGACCACAUGACUGCGCGGUGGGCCGAUCAGAAUCUUCCCUGGAAUUCCCAUAGACACUGCUGGUUUCCUGACCAACAUCCAUUCCUCCCCUAUUCUCACUAGCUACACGCCACUUUUGUUGAUCUAGCAAGAAGUCCAGUUGAAGAUAUUUGUGCCUCUAGACUUUCUUGCAGGUAGGGGUCAGGUCACCCAAUUCUGGUCAAUAAGAUAUGGGCAGAAGUUGCUGGGAGAGACUUCUGGGAAAGGGUUUCAAAAGGAACAUGGCUCCUUUAGUCCACUCUUAACUGAUGGCUGAGAUGGAGACAUCUUAACCUGAAGGCUUUUAUUCCAGCUAUGUGAGAGGCCACCUGAGAAUAAAGUGAUCCGAGAAGAAAGCAAAACAGAGAGAGAGACAGAGAAAGAGAUGGCAAUAUCAGUUAAGUCCCUGGAUUGAGCCAUGCCUGAAGCCUCAGAACUUCCCAAUUUGGAGAGCCAAUCAAUAAAUCCUUUUCCUACUUAAGCUGGUUUGCACUGGAUCUCCAUCUCUUUCAGUGAAAGACCCCUCAGUGCAAACCUCCACAAAACCAAACCCAUGUCUUUCC
rnacentral:lncRNA from 1 species